rnacentral:lncRNA from 1 species
AUGGUUUUUCUUUUGCUUUUCCACUCUUUCAAAAACCACCAAGAGAACACGUCAUCGUCCUCCACUGGGAGAGAAUCAUGGUGCCACCUUUCUCCCCCUAUGGCUGAAGACCACAAGAAGAUGGCAGGCUGGGCUUCUGCUCUUCAGUCAGCAGCCGCCAGGAACUGGAGCUGGAACUGGCGAGAUGAUGUCACGCAGCUUUUCACUGACCAGGAAACCGCGAGCGUCCGAGCGUCCGAGUCUUCCCGUGAAAGCCCCCAGUCGGUGGGGUGGCGGCUCUGGUCAGCUCUGGGGCUUCUUUUCCUUCCUGCCCUCCGGGAGAAGCGAAAGUCGCCCGACCAGGAAACCAGCCCCAGGGGCGCUGAAGGAGAGAGGAUCUAAUGGCUCCAGCUCUCUAGGUGACGCCCAGGCAGGCUUCUAAAAAUAAUUCUGAAGCUAGAUACUGAAUAAAUGAGCAGAUAUUCCUCAUCUAUUAAACUAAUUAAUUAAUUUUUGGGUACCAGGGAUCAAACUCGGUUCCUUACACUUGUGAGGCAGGCGGUGGAACCUCUGGGCUAAAUCCCCGGCCUAAAGUACUUUAAUUAAAAAAAUUGUGACCACUGUGAGAGUAAGACGUUUGUACGAUCUAUAAAUUUUACUCAUACUCAGCAGGGUGAUGAACGUGGUAGGGAAUACUUGCUUUUUAAAAUUCGAUAAAGGGGCCGGGGAUUUAGCUCAGUGGUUCUACCGCCUGCCUUGCAAGUGCAAGGACCCGAGUUGGAUCCCUGGUACAAAAAAAACAAAAAACAAAAAACAAAAAUGCAUUAAUAGCCAAGCAUGGUGGUGCACGCCUGUAAUCCCAGCACUCUGGGGGGCUAAAACCACCCUGUAUAAUUUAGCAAUUUAACAAGAGCCUGUCUCAAAAUAAACAAUGUUUUUAAAAAAGGGCAGCCGAGGUCGCUCAGUAAGAAGCUCCUGGGUUCAAUCCCCAGCACCUCCCCUCUCCAGGCAGGAAAGGAACAAUGAAUGGAUGUGGUCUAAUCUGGAGAUUCAGCUUAGUCUUUAAUUGUCAUUUGUGAGGAAACUGGAGAGUGACACUUUGUAGACAGACUACACUGUGGGGAUGUUGCAAUUUAUCUGAAUGAUAAUAGUAACAGCCAGCAUUGCUACAUACCGGAAAUACACUUUGUACUUGACAUUUAAACCUCAUUCCACCCCACCCGGAAGUUUUUCUUGUUAGUACUACCCUUUUUUACAUAUUACAAAACAUUACACAAGUCAUAUAAUUUAUCAAUAGUCACGUAAGGACUACUCCAGCUUUUAGCCAUUCUCCAGUGCUUUGGGACACAAUGCUGCAGCGAGUCAUCUACUAAUGGCAUUUGUAGCUGCAUUCAUUAAACACCCUUCUCUGAGCCUCAUGAUAGGUCUGAUGGGAGGAAGAGAAGAAAGGAGGAAAGGGGCCGAGCAAGCACAGUUCACAGUUCACACAGUUCAAUUUCCUGGGUUUGCUGCUACUUGUAAUCUGUGCCCCCCCCGCCCCGCCCCUCUCACUGGGUGGGCAUUGAACCCAGGGACCCUUUACCACUGAGCUAUACCCCAAACCUUCUUAUUGUGAGACAGGGUUUUGGUAAAUUGCCCAAGUGGGACUGGAACUUCUGAUCCUCCUGCCUUGGCCUCCUAAGUAGCUGGGAUUACAGGCCUGCAUCACCGUCCCCAGCUCUAUUAUCUCUUCUGUAUACAGAGUAAAUGUGUGUGUGUGGGGGGAGUAAAUGUGGACUAGGUGGUUCAAAAGAAAGAAAAAAAAAUUUGCUAAAAUAUUGGGAGACUGAGAGCUAUCAAGUCUACAACAUCUAGAUAAUGUUCUGUGGGCCCUGGGCUUCACUUCCACACUCACUGUGGUGGGUCCUUGCUAUUUUUACUUCCUGUCUUGUGUGUUGUUAGCAACACUCCAAUCAACCACAGAACCUGUAUCUGUCUCUACCUGUCCCAUGAGUACAAGUAUAGUUAAAUGUUGAGUUGUUAUGCCAUUAAGGAACUUUGAAAGCAUAGGUUAGGUAGAGAGAAAACAGUGAAAAUGACAGUGCAUGAAAUGCCAGAGCUAUGUGAAAUGCAGUUUAGAAGAAUGAAUUAUAUUUAGAUCUACUGACAUGAAAAGAACUCCAUAAGGCAUUUUUUUUUUUAAAAAAGCAAGUUGAGAACAAAAAGUAGAGAAUGACACUGUUUAUGUUUUGUAAAGUCAUACAAAGCAAUAGUACACACACACACACACACACACACACACACUAUACAAACACAGAUAGAAAACAGUUUGAUAAUAGUGGUUUUUCUGGGAAGAGGACUGGAUUAGGGGUGAAGUGGUGGUAAUGGCAAACAUUUUCUUUAUCAUUUUAUAAGAUAAUUUACUCUUAUAAAAGAUAUGUAAAAGAAAAGAAAUAAAACAGUGAUGCUGUUAGAAAAUAAAAGGUUUUCAACACACAGUAAAGUGGUACAAAUACACCAAUCUAAAAACAUUGCUCCGGCCGGGGAUUUAGCUCAGUGGUUCCACCACCUGCCUAGAAAGUGCAAGUUCCCGAGUUUGAUCCCUGGUACCAAAAUAAAUAAAUAAAUAAAUAAAUAAAAUAAAAACAUUGCCCCAUUGAUGUCCGUAAGAGACCUAUUGGUGGGGCCAGGGAUUUAGCUCAAUGGUUCCAUCGCCUGCCUCGAAAGCUCAAGUCCCAAGUGUGAUCCACGGUACCAAAAAAAAAAAAAGACCUACUAGUUAGAUUAAUCAUUGAUUAGAAGAGUUCUUGUAUUUUUUUUUUUUAGAAGAGUUCUUGUAUUGACAUUAUUAUGAAUUUCAUGAUUUUUAAAAAUUUAAUAUCUCAUCACUACCACAAAUAUGGUCCCAAGAUUGGAACUAGAGGACUUGAGUUCAAGGCCUGACUGUGCAUUUCUUUGUAACAUUGGCCCAACGUCUGUUUCAACAAAAUGGAGAGAAUAGUAACAUUUUACAGAAUCCUGGGAGGAUUCAGUGAGAAAACGAAUAAAAAAUAACAUCAAACCCAGGCAGACUGAUGCUUAUAAAUUACAAAUUGUGCUUAUUUUUAUCUCUUCCCAUUC